rnacentral:rRNA from 1 species
CCUACGGGAGUCAGCAGUGAGGAAUAUUGGUCAAUGGCCGCAGGGCUGAACCAGCCAAGUCGCGUGAGGGAUGACGGUCCUAUGGAUUGUAAACCUCUUUUGUCAGGGAGCAAAGGGCGCCACGUGUGGCGCUUUGCGAGUACCUGAAGAAAAAGCAUCGGCUAACUCCGGGCCAGCGGCCGCGGUAAUACGGAGGUAGCGAGCGUUAUCCGGAUUUAUUGGGUUUAAAGGGUGCGCAGGCGGAAUGUCAAGUCAGCGGUAAAAUUUCGGGGCUCAACCCCGUCGUGCCGUUGAAACUGGCGUUCUUGAGUGAGCGAGAAGUAUGCGGAAUGCGUGGUGUAGCGGUGAAAUGCAUAGAUAUCACGCAGAACUCCGAUUGCGAAGGCAGCAUACCGGCGCUCAACUGACGCUCAUGCACGAAAGCGUGGGUAUCGAACAGGAUUAGAUACCCUUGUAGUC